AGGGCACCACCAGGAGUGGAGCCUGCGGCUUAAUUUGACUCAACACGGGAAAACUCACCCGGCCCGGACACUGGAAGGAUUGACUGAUUGAGAGCUCUUUCUUGAUUCAGUGGGUGGUGGUGCAUGGCCGUUCUUAGUUGGUGGAGUGAUUUGUCUGGUUAAUUCCGAUAACGAACGAGACUCUAGCCUAUUAAAUAGAUCGUUGGCUUACAAACGCCGGCGAGACUUCUUAGAGGGACAGGCGGCGAUUCAGCCGCACGAAACAGAGCAAUAACAGGUCUGUGAUGCCCUUAGAUGUCCGGGGCCGCACGCGCGCUACACUGAAGUGAUCAGCGUGCAUUUUGAAACCUACUCUGUCAAGAGUGGGGAACCCAAUGAACCUUCUUCGUGAUUGGGAUAGGGGAUUGUAAUUAUUCCCCUUGAACGAGGAAUUCCCAGUAAGCGCGAAUCAUAAGUUUGCGCUGAUUACGUCCCUGCCCUUUGCACACACCGCCCGUCGCUACUACCGAUUGAAUGUUU
rnacentral:rRNA from 1 species